rnacentral:rRNA from 1 species
UGAGGAAUAUUGCACAAUGGAGGAAACUCUGAUGCAGCAACGCCGCGUGGAGGAUGACGCAUUUCGGUGUGUAAACUCCUUUUAUUAGGGAAGAUAAUGACGGUACCUAAUGAAUAAGCACCGGCUAACUCCGUGCCAGCAGCCGCGGUAAUACGGAGGGUGCAAGCGUUACUCGGAAUCACUGGGCGUAAAGGGUGCGUAGGCUGGCUUCUAAGUCAGAUGUGAAAUCCAAUGGCUUAACCAUUGAACUGCAUUUGAAACUGGGAGCCUAGAGUUCAGAAGGGGCAGAUGGAAUUAGUGGUGUAGGGGUAAAAUCCGUAGAUAUCACUAGGAAUAUCAAAAGCGAAGGCGAUCUGCUGGGAUGAUACUGACGCUGAGGCACGAAAGCGUGGGGAGCAAACAGGAUUAGAUACCCACGUAGUCCCUGAGCGGGCUGGCAAGGCGCAU